rnacentral:tRNA from 1 species
UGUGGCCUGGCUCAGUGGGCAGAGCGCUUGCCUAGCAUGCAUGAGGCACUGAGUUCAAUCCCCAGCACCACAU